rnacentral:tRNA from 1 species
GCGAGAGUGGCGGAACUGGCAGACGCGCAAGACUUAGGAUCUUGUCCCGCAAGGGGUCCCGGUUCGAGUCCGGGCUCUCGCA